AUAAGAGCUUGCUCUUGAUGACGAGUGGCGCACGGGUGAGUAACGCGUAUGCAAUCUACCUAUAACUGAGGGAUAGCCCAGAGAAAUUUGGAUUAAUACCUCAUAAUAAUAUUUUUUGGCAUCAUUAAAUAUUUAAAACUCAGGUGGUUAUAGAUGAGCAUGCGUUCUAUUAGUUUGUUGGUGAGGUAAAGGCUCACCAAGACUACGAUAGAUAGGGGGCCUGAAAGGGUGAUCCCCCACACUGGUACUGAGACACGGACCAGACUCCUACGGGAGGCAGCAGUGAGGAAUAUUGCACAAUGGAGGAAACUCUGAUGCAGCCAUGCCGCGUGCAGGAUGACGGCCCUAUGGGUUGUAAACUGCUUUUUUACAAGAAGAAACCUUGGUACGUGUACCAACUUGACGGUAUUGUAAGAAUAAGCACCGGCUAACUCCGUGCCAGCAGCCGCGGUAAUACGGAGGGUGCAAGCGUUAUCCGGAUUUAUU
rnacentral:rRNA from 1 species